rnacentral:rRNA from 1 species
UACGAAGGGAGCAAGCGUUGUCCGGAAUCAUUGGGCGUAAAGCGCGCGUAGGUGGCCCCAUAAGUCCGCUGUGAAAGUCAAAGGCUCAACCUUUGAAAGCCGGUGGAUACUGUGGGACUAGAGUACGGAAGAGGCGAGUGGAAUUCCUGGUGUAGCGGUGGAAUGCGCAGAUAUCAGGAGGAACACCAAUAGCGAAGGCAGCUCGCUGGGACGUUACUGACACUGAGGCGCGAAAGCGUGGGGAGCGAACAGG